rnacentral:antisense_RNA from 1 species
CUAGCUGGGGAGGGAGAGGCCAUAUGAGUGGAGGGACCUGUGGAGGAAAAAUUAUUAUUACUAUCUUGAUGUCCGCUGAACCAAAGUGGAUGGAAAUUUCUCAGGACAUAUUCAUCCAAACUACAAAAACAGGUUACUCCAUACUGAUUACAGGAUGAUUUAUCACACAUUCAUUAAAUAUAGAACAUUGACUAGCGACCAGUUUCCUCCAACAACAGAUCCAUUUGGAAAUGGCACACUGUAGAAGGCAAUCUUGUGACUUUCUUCUAGUUGUAUAUAAAAAAUACAAAUCAGUCAGGGAGUCAGCUCUUCUACAGGUCUACUUAAACUUUGAAAGAUGAGAUUGUUCAAAAAUGACACGAGAAAAUCACCCAUCACCACUAGGUUAAAGACUUGAAUAUGUGAGAGCUCCAGAGCCUCAAACUCCUACUACAGUCACUGAUCCAUAACAUUUUCCUCUUGCAAUAGACUCCACGCCAAAGUAGCACAGUCUUGCGGCAUGUUUGUGCACCAAAAAGUAGAUUUCGAAAGAUCCAGCACUAGUCAUCACUGUCACUGCCAGACUCACUCAACUGCAAGUCAUUUCCUAUUUAAAAAAAAAAAAAAAAAAAAGUAAAAUCGUAGAAUCAAACAAAA